UCUGGUAGUUUUUUUUUUUGAGAGAAAAGAUCUGGUAGUUGGUAACGCAAUAAUGAUCUUAGAGAUUAAUUUUAGACCUUGAGUAGAAUAUAGCUCCUGGAUCCGAUAGCUGGUAUGUCAACGCAUUCGUGGCCUGAUCAUGUUGCCGAUAUCAGCCGAGCACAAGCUGAACUUUCGUAGGACCUGAACUGAACACCUCAUACAAACUCAACUGUCCACGUAUCUUUUGCUUUCUUGCUAGCUGAAGUUGCCUACGAUUUCAUGAUCUGUUCAUUUAUUUGAAGCACUAAUGCGGACAGGCAGCAAAAGCAAGCUGCCUUGAAGUAGUCCCAUUUCUGCAUAUUUAGUUGAAGUCACUCUCCGUCUUCAAGUUAGCACCAACACAUUCAGUAUCGGCAUGGCUGGCAUGUACUUGGAGUCUUGGAGACGGGCAUUGCAGCUGUUAUGGUUGUUGUCGUCCUGCGCUGGGAGGACGUGGUGGUGCCCUGGCAGGAACUGGCUGCGGUGCUGCUGCUGCGUCCGCGGUGGUCAGGCAGUGGCGCCCCCGCCGCAGCAUCUCUGGAGCCUCUGUUUCCGGACUCUGUUUUUCAAUCAACCGGUACCAAUGUACAUAUUUCAUAUUGCUGGCUUUGCGUUCUAUGAUGUUCUGACCUCACUAUGCUAUACUAAGCAGCAACCAUCUCCUCAGCAUUUUUUACUUAAAGUGUUGGACCAUAAUGUUGUACUCAUCAGCAUCACGGGCGGGUCGACAUCAACAUAUUUUUGAUGCUGCUUGCUUACUCAACAUGUAGUAUAUUAGUAGCUUAUGUAAUGUUAAAAUAAGUCUUAUAGAUGCAGUAACAUGUAUUAGUGCAUAAACCAUUUACUUGUAUUAAAAUAAUUCUUAUACACAUUUUCGCUGCUAGUUACCGAUCUAGCUAUUACUUGGUAUUUCAUUGGCAUGCCCUUUCCAAUUACAUCCUCCACAAUAUAUGCAUGCUUCUGCUCUGACUGAUGGUCUCCAAUUAAGAAACACAGCUCACAUGGAAGAAGAACUAGAUGAAAUGACUGCCCUUUCCCUUGGCAUUGGAGCUACUAGCCAGCACUCCAAAUAUAAGAGAGGCACUGGCUCCAAUCCAAAAUCACCUAUCGGAUUCAGUCUCCGGUUCCGAGAUCAAGGUGACGACGAGAACAGCGAUGGCCACACAAGGAAGAAGCUACGGCUUUCCGAUGAACAGGUCAUGGUACUUGAAGGCGUCUAUGGAGAACAUUGCACUCUUGAUACUACAAUUAGUCUAUGAAGCAAGGGCUGGCGAAGAGGCUGAAUGUAAAACCGCGGCAAGUCGAAGUCUGGUUUCAGAACAGAAGAGCCAGGAGCAAGCAGAAGCAUAUCGCAGCAGAUUACGAUUAUUUGAAGAGAAAGUCUGAAAGACUAAUCAAGGAGAACCAGAAGCUGAAGAUGGAGCUCCAAGAACUGAAGAGUAUAUCUCACCGUGGCAGUACUCAAAAUGGCUUGAAUUUAGUUUCGGUCUGCUCAUUCUGCAACCAGAUUUUCAGAGACUACCAUGGUCAUAAGAAAUUCUAAAGUAUAUAUGUGUAGAUCGGCAUCUUACAUCUGAGCAGCUAGGAUUUUCUUCAGGAUUUGUUUUACAAAAGAUAUGGCGUUGAAAUGUAAAUAAUGGGAAAUAGUGUUUUCCUUGCUGAAUAAAAAGUGAUGCAUUCAUCUAAAAUAGUAGUAGCCUUCAGAAAUCCUUAUUUGUUUUGAAUACAAUGGCAUGCUUGAA